CCUACGGGAGGCAGCAGUGAGGAAUAUUGGUCAAUGGGCGCGAGCCUGAACCAGCCAAGUCGCGUGAGGGAGGACGGCCCUACGGGUUGUAAACCUCUUUUGCCGGGGAGCAACGGGCGUCACGUGUGGCGCCACUGAGAGUACCCGGAGAAAAAGCACCGGCUAACUCCGUGCCAGCAGCCGCGGUAAUACGGGGGAUGCGAGCGUUAUCGGGAUUUAUUGGGUUUAAAGGGUGCGUAGGCGGAUCGUUAAGUCAGUGGGAAAAUUGCGGGGCUCAACCCCUUCCCGCCAUUGAAACUGGCGCUCUUGAGUGCAAGAGAAGUAUGCGGAAUGCGUGGUGUAGCGGUGAAAUGCAUAGAUAUCACGCAGAACCCAGAUUGCGAAGGCAGCAUGCCGGCUUCCGACUGACGCUGAAGCACGAAAGCGUGGGGAUCGAACAGGAUUAGAUACCCUAGUAGUC
rnacentral:rRNA from 1 species